UUGUCUGUAUAACAAUGGCGAUCCAGAGCCAAAUGUUGUAGGCUAAGUUGCCUAAAAGGAGGUAUGUCAUGUCAGCAAGUUUUGCUGGCAACCCAUGGUUAAGUGGUUGCCUCCCGCAGCCCCCACCAAUCCCAUUGGUAAAUAGGUUCCACACAUGGAUAUCUGGAGGCAAUGAUUUUGACAUGGACAGUGUAUGGUUUGUUCACGCACAUCCGAGGUUUCUGAAGAUGAAUGUUGUAUGUGUUCACCAGCAGAUGCUCGGGGCGCAUCCACUUGAUCACGAGGUAGCUGCUCUUGCUUUAAGGAGGUUUCAUCAGAUUGAUGUGGGCGCACAAUCUGUCAAUAGGUACAUGUUGUGGUGGGAAGUGCUCGAACCUGAUUUUUCGGCUCAUUUGAGUUACCAGCAGUGACUGCAAGACAAUGGGUAGGUUCAGAACUAGCGAAUCCAACAAAUUGAUCUCUACCACUCCUGGAUUCACUACUAGCAUUUGGACCCAUCAGAAGCUCAACAUCACUUCCCGGACCCCUGUCGUGUUCGUCAUUUUCAGAAUUUGGAUAUAGCUCCACAUAUAUUUCAGCUACACUUCCAACAGCAACACAAUUUGUAAGCUGCUUGCAAUCACUGUAUAAAGCAACCAUUUUUAGACCAUAUAACAUUUCUUUUCUAGGAAAUAGCCAAUGGAACAUCUGUCAUCCUUUUUUUGGCAACUUUGGGAAGAGUUCGAGGACGAAAAAUAUACUUAUCCUUUUUUCAAUAGACACAUGCUCUUGCAGGGGAGAAAGUUUUGUACAUAAAAGCGGUACAACUCCAACUCGCACAUGGCAAUCAUGACAUCACGGCAUGUCAGAUGUUUUUCGUUCUUGUCAUUCUUGAUCAUGGAUGGGCUGCAUACAUGUGGGGUAUGCUCAAGAAGGAGAUUCAUAUUCUGGACCCAUUAUGUGCUCAAGUUGCAGGAGCAGAGUAGAGGCAUAUUGUCCACCAGGAGGCUGUGUUGCAGUUACACACAACAUUAUUCAGUUGCCUCGGCGAAUUUUUUUGCAAAAUGGCAUCGUCCAUCCGACAGAUGGAACAGCAGGUUCCCUAAGAUAUCAUGUGACAUCUUCUCAAGCUAGAUGGAGAAAUUCUGAAUCUGAAACUUUGUGCUCCCUAAGCCCUUUCCGAUUUUUUUCGAAUGCAACUUCUGAAGAAUCAUGUGUUUGUUGGGUUGCCUUUCAUUUUUUUCUAGGGAUGAGUCGGGAUAUACCAGCUACGUACACAGUGUUGAAUACAUAUACCUCUUGGUCCAGCCGGGCGC